rnacentral:rRNA from 1 species
GAGUUUGAUCGUGGCUCAGAUUGAACGCUGGCGGCAUGCCUUACACAUGCAAGUCGAACGGCAGCAUGAUCUAGCUUGCUAGAUUGAUGGCGAGUGGCGAACGGGUGAGUAAUACAUCGGAACGUGCCCUGUAGUGGGGAUAACUAGUCGAAAGAUUAGCUAAUACCGCAUACGACCUGAGGGUGAAAGUGGGGGACCGGCAAGGCCUCAUGCUAUAGGAGCGGCCGAUGCCUGAUUAG